CUAAAGAAAAUUUUCUCAUGUAUUUCCUUAAAUUGAAACAUAAUUUCAUUUCUCUAGUUCAGUUUAGUAUUUCUUUGUUCACUUUCUUUGCUAUUCCUUCAUUUACAAUUGAUUUUGUAAGUUAGUUACUUAAAAUAGUAGAGAUAAUGUGGUUACACAAAAGGAGUUACUUAUAACUGGGUUUGGAAGUUUUUGUUUAUGCUGCUGGAAAUGAUAUCUUAGCUUUUAAUUUACUUUAACUCUACUUGCUGCAGAUCCUAGUGUGCGCAGAGCAGGAAACGAGUCAUUUAAAGGGUAAAGAACAUGAACUUGUCAUAUCCAAUGCUAGGAGUGAUGCUGAUCAUCUUGUUGAACUGCGGGUUACCUCAACUCAGCGAAUGGCUGAGAGUUCAGUUCUUGAUGCACAUACUAGUGAAGCUCAAGAAUCUAACAGUUACCGGCACUAUGUGGCUUCAACAACCGAACGAGAUGGUGGGGCAAAUGCAUUGUUUUCACUUAUUUGUGAGGUUUAGGAUGUUAAUGCGCAUCACAUUUAUGGACAAGUAUAAGUUUAUGGUUAGUGUUUUAUGGUUAGGGUUAAUGUUGGGAUGGAAUGACUUUGUUGAAUAUAUGGAUGAAUGUAUCGGAUCUUUACAUAAAUGAAUUUGUUUUGAAUGUGUUGUCAUUUGGAUUCCA